UGUGGGCGCGAGCCUGCUCGCGAAAGCGUCGGCACUUUCAGCAUCUAUGUGACUGACAGGCCGUCAUCGCGAGCAGGCUCGCUCCCACA
rnacentral:misc_RNA from 1 species